rnacentral:misc_RNA from 1 species
AUGGCAGUAGGCAUGUCAGACCGAGCAUAUCAAUUUGAUGCAAGACCAGACAUGAAGGCUUUGAACCGAUGGGGAUACUAUCCACUCAUCCUAAUAGGAUCAUGGGCUUUUGGCACAAUCAACCGCAUUCAUGAUUUUGUUGCACCAGGCCACAAAAUCCUUUGGCUCUCAGUUCUUGAUGUUGGAACAGCUGCUCUUAUGGGACUCUUCAACUCGAUAGCAUAUGGUCUGAACUCUUCCGUGCGUCGGGCAAUAUGUGAAAGAUUGGAUCUGUUCUGGCCAGACAGGCUGCGAAGAUGGUUCCCUCCUGGUUUUAAAUUCAGGAAUCAAGUGCAAGAGAGUGAACUAGUUUCGUUGAAAAUUCAAGAUCAGCAUUAACGGCUUGGAGAGUUCACCUGCUCAUUUUGAUUGGGAAUUUAUACUUCUUUUCGCCAGGGUGUCUGCACUCUUUCAAUUUGUUUCUGGCAUUUGUGCAAAGUCCAUAAGGAUUCUUUCUUUUUUUUUUUUUUUUUUUUUU